AGCAGUAGCCGCGGGAAAACAGAGGGUGCGAGCGUUAAUCGGAUUUACUGGGCGUAAAGCGUGCGUAGGCGGCUUCUUAAGUCGGAUGUGAAAUCCCUGAGCUUAACUUAGGAAUUGCAUUCGAUACUGGGAAGCUAGAGUAUGGGAGAGGAUGGUAGAAUUCCAGGUGUAGCGGUGAAAUGCGUAGAGAUCUGGAGGAAUACCGAUGGCGAAGGCAGCCAUCUGGCCUAAUACUGACGCUGAGGUACGAAAGCAUGGGGAGCAAACAGGAUUAGAUACCCGAGUAGUCCCUGUCUCUUAUAC
rnacentral:rRNA from 1 species